UACGGAGGGGGCGAGCGUUAUUCGGAAUUAUUGGGCGUAAAGGGCGCGUAGGCGGCCCGCUAAGUCAAAGGUGAAAUCCCUCGGCUCAACUGAGGAACUGCCUUUGAAACUGUCGGGCUUGAGGCCGGGAGGGGGUAGCGGAAUUCCCAGUGUAGCGGUGAAAUGCGUAGAUAUUGGGAGGAACACCAGUGGCGAAGGCGGCUACCUGGACCAGCACUGACACUGAAGCACGAAAGCGUGGGGAGCAAACAGG
rnacentral:rRNA from 1 species